GCACUGGGGAUUCAAUGGUAGAAUUCUCGCCUUCCAUGCAGGAGACCUGGGUUUGAUUCCCAGCCAAUACA
rnacentral:tRNA from 1 species